rnacentral:rRNA from 1 species
CGGGGGGCAGCAGUGGGGAAUCUUGGACAAUGGGGGGAACCCUGAUCCAGCGAUGCCGCGUGUGUGAAGAAGGCCUUAGGGUUGUAAAGCACUUUAAUGAGGGAGGAGUAGGGUGCGUUGAAUAGACGUAUCUGAGGACGUUACCUCAAGAAUAAGCACCGGCUAACUCUGUGCCAGCAGCCGCGGUAAUACAGAGGGUGCGAGCGUUAAUCGGAAUUAUUGGGCGUAAAGGGAGCGUAGGCGGAUUGACAAGUGGUAUGUGAAAUACCCGGGCUUAACCUGGGGAGGUCAUAUCAGACUGUUAGUCUAGAGUAUGGUAGAGGAAGGUGGAAUUCCUGGUGUAGCGGUGAAAUGCGUAGAUAUCAGGAAGAACAUCGAUGGCGAAGGCAGCCUUCUGGGCCAUUACUGACGCUGAGGCUCGAAAGCGUGGGGAGCGAACAGGAUUAGAUACCCCAGU